GACGAACGCUGGCGGCGUGCUUAACACAUGCGAGUCGAACGGUAAGGCCCUUCGGGGUACACGAGUGGCGAACGGGUGAGUAACACGUGGGUGAUCUGCCCUGCACUUCGGGAUAAGCCUGGGAAACUGGGUCUAAUACCGGAUAGGACCACUGCCUGCAUGGGUGGUGGUGGAAAGCUUUUGCGGGGUGGGAUGGGCCCGCGGCCUAUCAGCUUGUUGGUGGGGUGAUGGCCUACCAAGGCGGCGACGGGUAGCCGGCCUGAGAGGGUGACCGGCCACACUGGGACUGAGAUACGGCCCAGACUCCUACGGGAGGCAGCAGUGGGGAAUAUUGCACAAUGGGCGCAAGCCUGAUGCAGCGACGCCGCGUGAGGGAUGACGGCCUUCGGGUUGUAAACCUCUUUCAGCACCGACGAAGCGCAAGUGACGGUAGGUGCAGAAGAAGGACCGGCCAACUACGUGCCAGCCGCCGCCGUAA
rnacentral:rRNA from 1 species